UUUCACUCCUGAACAACGAGCCCUUCGUAGUACUAUGGAAGCCUUUGCAACCCCCCGGGGGUCCCCGACUAUAACUGGGACAGCAAGUCGCCUCGGCGGCAACAUGAUCGAAUUGCGGGGACGUCCUAAAGCUCUCACCACUCCCCUCCAUCAGAAACGAUGGGGGCUCGUCACAGCGUGAGAGAUGUACAAUGGGCGAUCCGCAGCGAAGCCCCGUCAGCCUACCCUGUAGGCCCGGGGACCGUUCACAGACUAGGUGGUCAUGGGCACCGCGGUGCUUAAGAUAUAGUCGGCCAGCUGGGGAAACCUGACUGCUAGCGCGUUCCGUAGGUGAACCUGCGGAAGGAUCAUUA
rnacentral:ncRNA from 1 species